rnacentral:rRNA from 1 species
UGGGGAAUCUUAGACAAUGGGGGAAACCCUGAUCUAGCCAUGCCGCGUGAGUGAUGAAGGCCCUAGGGUUGUAAAGCCCUUUCGCCGGGGAAGAUGAUGACGGUACCCGGAGAAGAAGCACCGGCUAACUCCGUGCCAGCAGCCGCGGUAAGACGGAGGGUGCUAGCGUUGUUCGGAAUCACUGGGCGUAAAGGGCGCGUAGGCGGCCUGAUCAGUCAGAUGUGAAAGCCCGGGGCUCAACCCCGGAACGGCAUUUGAUACUGGCAGGCUGGAGGUCGGAAGAGGAGGGUGGAAUAUCCAGUGUAGAGGUGAAAUUCGUAGAUAUUGGAUGGAACACCGGUGGCGAAAGCGGCUCUCUGGUCCGAACCUGACGCUGAGGCGCGAAAGCGUGGGGAGCAAACAGGAUUAGAUACCCGGGUAGUCC